AGGACGAACGCUGGCGGCGUGCUUAACACAUGCAAGUCGAGCGGAAAGGCCCUUCGGGGUACGUCGAGCGGCGAACGGGUGAGUAACACGUGAGCAACCUGCCCUUAGCUCCGGGAUAGGCUCCGGGAAACCGGAAUUAAUACCGGAUACGACCACGGCCGACAUCUGCUGUGGUGGAAAGGAUUCCGGCUAAGGAUGGGCUCGCGGCCUAUCAGCUAGUUGGUGGAGUAACGGCCCACCAAGGCGACGACGGGUA
rnacentral:rRNA from 1 species